GGGGAUGUAGCUCAGAUGGUAGAGCGCUCGCUUAGCAUGGGAGAGGUAUGGGGAUCCAUACCCCACUUCUCCA
rnacentral:tRNA from 1 species